AUAUUAUAUGAAAAGAACCGAACCUAAAACAUUUGGAAGCGAAGCACACACAGACACACACCCCUGCAGACGCUUGUGGCGCUAAUGGCGGCAGCCUGUGGCAGCGGAAUGACGAAACUCUGCUGCAGAGGAGACGAAAGAUCACUCCGAGAGGCAGGAUGUCUUCGAAUAAUUAAAAAAACUCACGUGACAAGAUUAAGCAAGUGCAUUAACUAAUAAACACAACGGAGAAAAAAUCCACGACUUGCACAAAUCCGGGUGAUAAAAAGAAAGAACAUCCGAUAGGCUUUGGUGAUGGGCACUCAUCGAUAGCCAGAUUACCAGUCGAAACAGAGUUGCAUUUACAAGAUAAUUGUAUUCAAAAAGCUAUUGCACCUUUAGAGACAUGACAUUAGGCCAACAAUAUACAUUUUAACGAGGUUAAUCAUUCCACUUAUAGCUGCUAAGUUUUUUGCGUAGAUGAUUGAUAUCAUGAUUAUCAUGAUUGAUAAUAUGAUGUUUUCCAACACACACAGUCAGCCAGCCAGCAAAAUUGGUUCUUAAAAUUGCAACAGUCAAUAAUCUCUGCAGCAGCGUUGCUCCCAGCUUACUGGACGUAUAUAUAUCUCUCGCUCUCACUGCAUGAUUUGAAACUAUUAAGCUAACUUAAACUAAAAUUAAAAAUUAGUCAACAUAAACAAUUUUAGGUUAUUUUUUCCAGUGUAACCGUAUUGUAUAUACCGUAUACGAAAAAAUACUAAAAUUGAAUAAAGCGUUUGGCUAUUUUGUAGCGCGCAUUGCCAACAGAGCAUAAAAUUACAGAGAAACUGAAUUCUGAUGAUAUUAUAAAGGAGCUUUCCAUAAUGAACGCAAGAAAAGUAAUAUAUUGAAUGCGAGCGCUGUGAAACACUGAUCCGACUCUACUGUUUCCGCACAAUUCUCGCUGGCCAACCUCUUCCCGUAACUUCCGUGAUCCCGAUCAUAUAGAGGCGCCUGCUUCUCCACCGAACGCAACAGCUUCAUAUUCGACAAACACUUUUAUUCCAGCACAGAACAGAGAAUCUCCCCCCGCCUAGAGCAUUUCCAUGAUGGGAACGAGAGUGAAAACAAAGGAAAGUCGUGCAGGGGAAUAUAUUAAAACGAGAGAGAACUCCUUUGACCCGAAGGAGCACAGCUAAAAGCAGUCGCUGCAUUAUAUAUAUUCAGUAUAUAGGUACAGAGAAUUCUGCAGAACAAAACUCUACGGUUUUACAGCGUUUACAAGUUGAUCAGCGCCCAGUGAUGGAUUCCUACAUCAUGUUUUGAGCGCUUAUGCAUACCUUACUAAGUCCCACUGCCUUCACACGAAAACGCUUCUUUUUGGUGCAAUUGCAAUGUUUACAAUGUUCACAACUUUUAUUUAAAUGAAUGCAAAAAAUCAAGGAUUGAAAAGAAUUAAGAAUUUGAUUUAACCACAAAUUGUCAGUUGAUAGUUAAUACACACGUCAUUUAUACUGUAUUGUACAUACUCGAGUGUCCAAAUAGACAGUCAUCUAUGUAUAUAAUUUCA